GGUUAUUUCUUUUUGAGUAUUUAUUGAUUUUGGAUUUACGUUUUGUGCGUGGUGUUCUCUGGAUGCUCGAGUGCCAGAGUCGCAACAAAGUGUUUAUAAGUUUCUUUUUUUGCAUUUUCAUGUUUUCAUUUCUAUAAUUUUGUUGAAUUUCUUCUUUAAUGUUAUUUUCUGUUUCUCCAGGGCCAGUGAGGAUCGGGUGGAACUGGGGAGGCUAGCUGCUGUCAUUCUGCAGUGUGUCACAGUGUGCGGUGUGUGUGGAUACAACUUCCCAUUGGUGUGUGUGAUGGUUGCUUUGGUGUGAAUUUAGGUGGGUUUUUGGAUAACCAUUCUGAGUUGCAGCCGGCCUGCCUGGUUCCCACUAAUCCUGGCCCUGGGAAUUACCUCCCUUAUUGUGGAAAUGGUUUGUGUGAGAGAGUUUUAAAUCUAUGCGUGUGUUUUAUAAUAAAAUCCAAUCUUUUGUAUUCUCGCCCCCGUCUCCCCUACUUUGCCUUCAUUUGGUGAAACUUACCUGUGUCCUUUAAUGGGAAUAAAUUCUCUGGUUUCCCACCAGGGUGGCGUAGUCGGAUAAAUUCACUGAUUAACCUUUCCUUUCAUGUGAUACCGCCACAUUUUGGCGUAGUCGGCAGGGUGAGUUGGAACAGUUACUUC
rnacentral:lncRNA from 1 species